rnacentral:tRNA from 1 species
ACUUGCUUGACGUAGUGGUUUAACGUCUAGCUGGCUCUUACUAUUACAGCAAGAGUAGUAGGUUCGAAUCCUACAGCAAGUA